AGAGUUUGAUCAUGGCUCAGGACGAACGCUGGCGGCGCGCCUUACGCAUGCAAGUCGAACGGACCUUCGGGUCAGUGGCGGACGGCUGAGUAACGCGUAGGAAACCUACCCGGUGGCGGGGGAUAACCCGCCGAAAGGUGAGCUAAUACCGCAUGUGGUCGGUCGGUGAAAACCCGGCCGUCGAAAGCAGUAAUGCACCACCGGAGGGUCCUGCGUCCUAUCAGGUAGUUGGUGGGGUAACGGCCUACCAAGCCGAUGACGGGUAGCUGGUCUGAGAGGACGACCAGCCAGAAGGGGACUGAGACACGGCCCCUACUCCUACGGGAGGCAGCAGCGAGGAAUCUUGGGCAAUGGGCGAAAGCCUGACCCAGCGACGCCGCGUGAGGGAUGAAGGCCUU
rnacentral:rRNA from 1 species